GACGAACCGAGCGAACGUUGUUCGGAAUCACUGGGCUUAAAGGGCGCGUAGGCGGGCUGUCAAGUCUGGGGUGAAAUCCCACGGCUCAACCGUGGAACUGCCUUAGAUACUGACGGCCUCGAGGGAGAUAGGGGCGAGCGGAACUGUGAGUGGAGCGGUGAAAAUGCGUUGAUAUUCGCAAGAACACCAGUGGCGAAGGCGGCUCACUGGCCCGGUACUGACGCUGAGGUGCGAAAGCGUGGGGAGCAAACAGG
rnacentral:rRNA from 1 species